rnacentral:rRNA from 1 species
GGCGUAAAGAGCUCGUAGGUGGUUUGUCGCGUUGUUCGUGAAAUCUCACGGCUUAACUGUGAGCGUGCGGGCGAUACGGGCAGACUUGAGUACUGCAGGGGAGACUGGAAUUCCUGGUGUAGCGGUGGAAUGCGCAGAUAUCAGGAGGAACACCGGUGGCGAAGGCGGGUCUCUGGGCAGUAACUGACGCUGAGGAGCGAAAGCGUGGGGAGCGAACAGGAUUAGAUACCCUGGUAGUCCACGCCGUAAACGGUGGGUACUAGGUGUGGGUUUCCUUCCCUGGGAUCCGUGCCGUAGCUAACGCAUUAAGUACCCCGCCUGGGGAGUACGGCCGCAAGGCUAAAACUCAAAGAAAUUGACGGGGGCCCGCACAAGCGGCGGAGCAUGUGGAUUAAUUCGAUGCAACGCGAAGAACCUUACCUGGGUUUGACAUGCGCAGGACGCCGGCAGAGAUGUCGGUUCCCUUGUGGCCUGUGUGCAGGUGGUGCAUGGCUGUCGUCAGCUCGUGUCGUGAGAUGUUGGGUUAAGUCCCGCAAGGAGCGCAACCCUUGUCUCAUGUUGCCAGCGGGCAAUGCCGGGGACUCGUGAGAGACUGCCGGGGUCAACUCGGAGGAAGGUGGGGAUGACGUCAAGUCAUCAUGCCCCUUAUGUCCAGGGCUUCACACAUGCUACAAUGGCCGGUACAAAGGGCUGCGAUGCCGCGAGGUUAAGCGAAUCCUUUUAAAGCCGGUCUCAGUUCGGAUCGGGGUCUGCAACUCGACCCCGUGAAGUCGGAGUCGCUAGUAAUCGCAGAUCA